rnacentral:rRNA from 1 species
UGAUAAUGACAUUUUCUAUCUAUGUGUCUUGACCAAAUCACGUGCCAGCAGUCGCGGUAAUACGUGGAAGACUAGUGUUAUUCAUCUUUAUUUGGUUUAWAGGGWACCUAGACUGCUAAUCAAGCCCCUAAAGGGUACUAAUWGGCUARAGUUUUAUGUGAAAAGGGGUGUACUAAAGUGUGGAGAGAUGAAAUUCUGUGAUACCUUACUGGAACAGUCAACGGCGAAGGCRACCUUUUAUGUAAAAACUGACGUUKAAGGACGAASGCUUAGGACACCAAUAGGAUUAGAUACCCUAGCAGUCUAAGCAGACAAUGAUGAAUGUCAUAGGCAAGAAUUACAAUUUUGUCUAUAAAUGAAAGUGUAAGCAUUCCACCUCWWGAGUAACGCGGCAACGCCNGANCUGAAAUCAUUAGACCGUUUCUGAAACCAGUAGUGGAGUAUGUUGUUUAAUUUGAUCGUACGCAAAAAACCUUACCACAGUCUGAAUAGAUAUCUAAAUAUCAUACAAGCGCUGCACGGCUGUCUUCAGUUAAUGUCGUGAGAUUUUGGUUAG